GACUGACCGCAAAGUUGUUGUGUUCUUAAUUCUAGGCUCGCCCACGCGCCGGACGCUUCGUCUCGUUCGCCGGAUGCGAGUUCGGUUCAGCCUCGAGCUUAUGGAGCCUCUUGCAUUGAAACCGAAGUGCAAAUACAAAUGGGAAUGGAUUGAGUUCGCAAACACUGAAGAUGAAUACAAAAUUGAACAGGAGCACUUCAUCUAGGAUGCUUUAAAAUCAAGUCCUGCUGGCUAAAACCAAAACUCCUGAUACUUUCAUUGCACUAAGCUUAAGAUUCUCAAAAGAAGCAAACAAACAAGAAGCAAGAUUAAGAAAGUUUAAAUACAUAAUUCAUUAUAAUACAAGGUACAGUUUUAAGAAUUAAGGACCUGAGAUAUGCAUGAAAUAAUUUUAGAAUGAAUCAAUGUUUGAUCCGCUGAAUUUUAUCACAAGAGUUCUGCUAUUUUGGUGAAUGAACUAAUGAAACAAGUGCCAUAUGAUUAAAGUGUGGGACUCCUUCCGUGGAGGACAGGAGUAUAAAUAGAUCGAAGAAGGGAUUCUACAAAUUAGUAGAGGUUAGGUCCAUCGCUCACUAAGGAAUAACACUAUGGCCUCAGCGUAACAUGUAGCUCCGCAAAUCUGUUAACUGGUUGCUGCUAGAAGCAAGACUAGCAGACCAGAGAGAGAAGCUUUUUGUGAAAGCUUUGCUUUCUGUACCCUUUCGGUAGCUUUUGCUACUAAAAACAGGACAGUGGGCGAGGUGUCUGUGCAGAGGCCCAUCACAAAAAGUGAAGUUGUCAUAAAUAGUCUCUAUUUGUCAGCUCUGUGUCCCUUAACAUGAAAAAGGUCAUUUGACUAAGACAGUUUGGUAGUAACUCUAGUAUUGCAGGAUUGAAGAAGUGAAAGGUUUUUUGGGGGUUUUGCUAAUGAAAGCCAAAAAAAUGUAUAUGCUUCAGUUUAAAUGAGUGACAUUUGGCAGGUCUGAGUUAUGCAGCUGGAGGAGCUCUGACAUUCUCGGACUCCUAGAUAUGGACUAGUAAUUACCUCCGGUCUGUAACUAUUUUUUGCCAGGCAAAACGCAUAAUUUGGUGAAGUUUGUUAUAAGCUAUGCUUUACUUUGAAAACCGCAACAAUCCUUUGUCCUCUGAGGAAUGUGGAACUGCGUUUCUGUCCCUUUGAUGGGGUUUUCUGUUUUAGCCUUUGCUCUUGGUUUUGCUGAGCAGGUUAAUGUCUACUUUGUGAAGAUGGGUGCAUCGUGGGUUGGCCCCAAGCACCAGACAGCCCAUAUUUGUGUAAGCCCUGCAGCAGAUUAGGAAUCUGUUUCAGACCUCGGUCUGUCCUCUGGUUAAGAAAAAAUAUCCUCGGUCAGUCCUUUGCAAGUAGCUAUUAUAACUGGAAUGCUGAAAUGCAGAACCAUGUCAACUUCUUACACCCUCACUUGCCCUUGUGGGGCUCAGAUACGAAGCUGAAUUUCUUCAAAGAGUGUUUUCAUCUCUGCACUGUUUCUUGCGAGGAGAAUCGUCAACGCUGCACGAGUCAGGACGGCAUUGCUUAAUGGGUAUAGCAAGACCACGUACAAACGUCGAUGAUGCGAGCCCAAAAUGAACUGUUUUUUUUGAGGAGGGGGGCUGUUUGCUUUUGGGGCAGAGGGUCUUGUUGUUGAAGGUCCUGGUGUUACAAGUUAUACGUUCACAAUGUAUACUUGAAUGGCCUCGUUACUCUGUUCUGAUUGCUGGCAGAUGCCGUACAACUAAUGGUGUCAUUUCUGUUACUACAUCAGUUGUUAAGUGGGCCAGAAAACAGCCUUUAAGAUUAAAGUUUAAUCAAUCCAAGUAUGCUGAGAGCGAACAACUAUAGACUUUACUCUUUUUGAGAAUUAUAGUCUACUACUUUGAAAUCCCUGGCAGAGAUAGAGCGUUCUGUCAGAAAAUGUCUCCAGUGAGAAAUAGCAGGCAAAGAAUAUUUUCUGUGGGAUGGCAUGAGCAACCUUGUACUUUAAAGCUUGUAUAUUAAUUGCUUAUUAAUGGGCAGCUUUUGGCAGAAUUUCUUUUUGGUAUGGCCUCAAGAAUUUUAAUGGAGCAUCAGUCAGUGAGUGGAGAAAAUACGCUAAAAACAAUAAACAGGAUAUUCAGUGGUUGUAUCAGUUUGUGACAUUGGCUGAAUCAGUCGUGUUCCAGUUUUGGUCAAUUAUAAACUCUGCGUUAACUUCAUUAGGAGCAGAAAGAUGCAUUACAUUCUUCCAGGAAAACAUAUUGCAUUGGGGGUGGAUUUUUUUUUUUUUUCCCCUGCAGUAAGUGUUUCAGGAAAGGUUAUAAGGAGAGGCAAACAGAAACAUAAAAAGCCCUGCAGAUACUGAGUAGUUCACUUUCUAGGUCUUGUUUAAAGGCCUCUGAAAGUGAUUCCCAAAAUGUUUUCAAGCUCACUGAACGUUUUGUAUGCCAUAUUUUUACAAGCAGAGAGGUUAUUGCAAGCACGAGUCCUGUAGACAUACCCGUACGUGUUUCCCUAUAUGUAAAUAUGCACAAACUGUCCUUUCAUUUGAAAAACCAGUUUCUUCCCCCUCCCUUCAUGAGAAAACAAUGCUGCUGAGGUGACUGAGCCUCUGUUCUAAUUCUUACGCUCUCCCGUCUUCUGGUGGCCAUUGGCUGAAAUUUCCCAGAAAUAGGAUAUCCUUCCCAGAAAAGAAGGAAAAGAUCGCUCUGUUUAACAGUUGUUCUUUAAACAACCGAAGGUAAUGUGGAAGCAUUCCAAUGGGAAACCGUAAUGUGCAGGGAAAUACCUUCAGAUUACAUUGAGCACAGUCUGCUGCUUCAAGAAAAGGAAGUCCUCAACACACCCAAAAGAAGGCUCUUCUAUACCUAACCAUUCUUUGCUCUGCCACCUCUUAUCUUCGUUUCUGGCCACCUCACUUGAGGAAGGGGAAUUCUAAAUUGCUGCGACUUGAAAGCGCUUUAAAUUCCAACUGACAAAUUGAUGCAUGUUUUGGCAAUCUGGCAGUUCAAAGGUGAGCGCGUAGAGCAAGUUUGCCCUUCCCCUUGUACAACCCCGUUCGAGCUUGUCGAGCAUCGUUGCCACAAAAUGUCAGGGGUAGCUCCCACUGUGGAACAAAGGAGAACACGGUCUUCUUGUUCCCCACAGCCUUCUCUUAGCCUCAUAGCUCAUUACUUUUAUUUCCAGAGAAUUAAUGCCGUAAUAGUAAUUCUAUGGGACGCAUUUUAACAUUGGCAAGCUUUCCUGGGGGAAAGGAAGGGCUCCAGACUGUCUUUUUUCUUUCCUAAAUUACAUGUUAAAUGUGUUGGGAGAAACUUAGCAGGAGCUCAGAGACACUGUCUUUCAAAGAGGGAAGAUGCCACCAGUCGCCUUGGUGGUGGUGUCUUGUAUUUUGUGAGAAGCAGAGGGUCCUCGUUCCCCUUAUACUUAAAAUUCAGUGGGAGCCAGAAGGGCUGUUAUCCCUCACAGAUGCCUCUCUUAGGGUGCUGCAGGUCCAAGCUUUUGGUCCUGUGGUGGCUUUACUGUCUGCCUUGUGAUGCCUUUUGUAUCCAUGCCAAAAAUUGCUGAUCCCUUUUCCUCGAUACAACACACAGCUUCGUACUGUGCGAUCAGUAGAGAAAAAUAUCGUACAGCCUUCAGUAUUGCUGUAUACCUAAUGCAAAGUGAUAAUAGCAAGAAAAUGGAGAGUUAAGCUGCUUAGCAGAUCCUGUCUUGCACCUUUAAAUGCAGACCUUAUUGUAACCAUUAGUAGUGUACACGCAGCAGGCACUGCAACCUCAGUUCUGCCUUGUCUUUGUCCUUCUGUACACACUGUUAUUGCUAGACUGUAUUUUCCCUAAUGCCAGGGACCGUGAUUGCCUAGCACAUAAACUAGCUGCUGGAAGAUCACUGUUUAAUAAAGGUUUUUAUGCAGA